rnacentral:rRNA from 1 species
UUAGAGUUUGAUCCUGGCUCAGGAUGAACGCUAGCGGCAGGCUUAACACAUGCAAGUCGAGGGGCAGCGAGAUCAGUGCUUGCACUGAUUGUCGGCGACCGGCGCACGGGUGCGUAACGCGUAUGCAACCUACCCAUUACAGGGGGAUAACACUGAGAAAUCGGUACUAAUACCCCAUAACAUCCAGGGAGGCAUCUUCUUGGGUUGAAAACUCCGGUGGUAAUGGAUGGGCAUGCGUUGUAUUAGUUAGUUGGUGGGGUAACGGCUCACCAAGACAACGAUACAUAGGGGGACUGAGAGGUUAACCCCCCACAUUGGUACUGAGACACGGACCAAACUCCUACGGGAGGCAGCAGUGAGGAAUAUUGGUCAAUGGACGCAAGUCUGAACCAGCCAUGCCGCGUGCAGGAAGACGGCUCUAUGAGUUGUAAACUGCUUUUGUACGAGGGUAAACGCAGAUACGCGUAUCUGUCUGAAAGUAUCGUACGAAUAAGGAUCGGCUAACUCCGUGCCAGCAGCCGCGGUAAUACGGAGGAUUCAAGCGUUAUCCGGAUUUAUUGGGUUUAAAGGGUGCGUAGGCGGUCGGAUAAGUUAGAGGUGAAAUCCCGGGGCUCAACUUCGGAAUUGCCUCUGAUGCUGUUCGGCUAGAGAGUAGUUGCGGUAGGCGGAAUGUAUGGUGUAGCGGUGAAAAUGCUUAGAGAUCAUACAGAACACCGGAUUGCGAAGGCAGCUUACCAAGCUACUUCUGACGUUGAGGCACGAAAGCGUGGUGAGCAAACAGGAUUAGAUACCCUGGUAGUCCACGCAGUAAACGAUGAUAACUCGUUGUCGGCGAUACAGUGUCGGUGACUAAGCGAAAGCGAUAAGUUAUCCACCUGGGGAGUACGUUCGCAAGAAUGAAACUCAAAGGAAUUGACGGGGGCCCGCACAAGCGGAGGAACAUGUGGUUUAAUUCGAUGAUACGCGAGGAACCUUACCCGGGCUUGAAAGUUAGUGACGGAUCUUGAAAGAGGUCUUCCCUUCGGGGCACGAAACUAGGUGCUGCAUGGUUGUCGUCAGCUCGUGCCGUGAGGUGUCGGGUUAAGUCCCAUAACGAGCGCAACCCCUACCGUUAGUUGCCAGCAGGUCAAGCUGGGCACUCUGACGGGACUGCCGGUGUAAGCCGAGAGGAAGGUGGGGAUGACGUCAAAUCAGCACGGCCCUUACGUCCGGGGCUACACACGUGUUACAAUGGCAGGUACAGAGGGCAGCUACCCAGCGAUGGGAUGCGAAUCUCGAAAGCCUGUCUCAGUUCGGAUUGGAGGCUGAAACCCGCCUCCAUGAAGUUGGAUUCGCUAGUAAUCGCGCAUCAGCCAUGGCGCGGUGAAUACGUUCCCGGGCCUUGUACUCACCGCCCGUCA